ensembl:snRNA U6 U6 spliceosomal RNA
GUGCUUACCUCGGCAGCACACAUACUAAAAUUGGAAUGAUAUAGAGAAGAUUAGCAUGGCCCCUACACAAGGAUGACAUACAAAUUCAUGAAGUGUUCCGUAUUUUU